rfam:Candidatus Gottesmanbacteria bacterium RBG_16_52_11 RBG_16_scaffold_141, whole genome shotgun sequence.
GCGUCCGUAGCUCAGUGGUAGAGCACAUGUCUUAUAAACAUGAGGUCCUUGGUUCGAUCCCAAGCGGACGCA